GGCAGUAUAGCUCAGUUGGUAGAGCAUACCCUUCAUACGGGUAAAGUCGCAGGUUCGAUCCCUGCUAUUGCCAC
rnacentral:tRNA from 1 species